rnacentral:sRNA from 12 species
AUUUACGUCCUUAACGCGCCAUUAAGCUUUCCUGCCUAUUACUAAUACUUGUCCAUCUUCAUGGACUUUGAGUGGCUCCUGUCCACUCUGUUUGACGCCUCCCUGUUAUCUAACUUGAGCCGCCGGCAACGGCGGCUCCUUUUUU